UACGUAGGGGGCAAGCGUUGUCCGGAAUUAUUGGGCGUAAAGAGCGCGUAGGCGGCCAGAUAAGUCCGCUGUGAAAUCUCGAGGCUCAACUUCGAGCUGUCGGUGGAAACUAUCUGGCUAGAGUCCGGAAGAGGAGAGUGGAAUUCCUGGUGUAGCGGUGAAAUGCGCAGAUAUCAGGAAGAACACCCGUGGCGAAGGCGGCUCUCUGGGACGGUACUGACGCUGAGACGCGAAAGCGUGGGGAGCGAACAGG
rnacentral:rRNA from 1 species